AUCUAGCUGACGAGUCCCAAAUAGGAUGAAACGCACGUCCUAGAU
rnacentral:hammerhead_ribozyme from 1 species